rnacentral:rRNA from 1 species
UACGUAGGUGGCAAGCGUUGUCCGGAUUUACUGGGCGUAAAGAGCGCGCAGGCGGUCGUUCAAGUCGCGUGUGAAAGCCCCCGGCUCAACUGGGGAGGGUCACGCGAUACUGAUCGACUCGAAGGCAGGAGAGGGUAGUGGAAUUCCCGGUGUAGUGGUGAAAUGCGUAGAUAUCGGGAGGAAUACCAGUGGCGAAGGCGGCUGCCUGGCCUGUUCUUGACGCUGAGGCGCGAAAGCGUGGGGAGCAAACAGG